GCCGGGUGCAGUGACGCAUGCCUGUGGUCUCAGCUACUCGGGAGGCUGAGGUGGGAGGAUCACUUGAGCCCAGGAGUUCUGGGCUGUAGUGCGCUAUGCCGAUCGGGUGUCCACACUAAGUUCGGCAUCAAUAUGGUGACCUCCCGGGAGUGGGGACCACCAGGUUGCCUAAGGAGGGUGAACUGGCCCAGGUAGGAAUUGGAGCAGGUCAAAACUCCCGCUGAUCAGUAGUAGGAUUGCACCUGUGAAAGCCACUGCACUCCAGCCUGGGCAACAUAGCAAGACCCCAUCUCU
rnacentral:SRP_RNA from 1 species